ACGCUGGCGGCGUGCCUAAUACAUGCAAGUUGAGCGCUGAAGGUUGGUACUUGUACCGACUGGAUGAGCAGCGAACGGGUGAGUAACGCGUGGGGAAUCUGCCUUUGAGCGGGGGACAACAUUUGGAAACGAAUGCUAAUACCGCAUAAAAACUUUAAACACAAGUUUUAAGUUUGAAAGAUGCAAUUGCAUCACUCAAAGAUGAUCCCGCGUUGUAUUAGCUAGUUGGUGAGGUAAAGGCUCACCAAGGCGAUGAUACAUAGCCGACCUGAGAGGGUGAUCGGCCACAUUGGGACUGAGACACGGCCCAAACUCCUACGGGAGGCAGCAGUAGGGAAUCUUCGGCAAUGGACGAAAGUCUGACCGAGCAACGCCGCGUGAGUGAAGAAGGUUUUCGGAUCGUAAAACUCUGUUGGUAGAGGAGAACGUUGGUGAGAGUGGAAAGCUCAUCAAGUGACGGUAACUACCCAGAAAGGGCGGCU
rnacentral:rRNA from 1 species